CUCCUAGCCAGCCUGAGCUUGUACUACCAGAAGAUCAAUGGCCAUGUGAAGGUCCCAGGAUGCCGUCUCAUAGUGGAGAAAGGAAGACUCUGGUGAAGGUUGGCGCCCCUCCCAACCAUCUCUUCCAUCUAAAGAGAGAGGGAGCAGCCUUAUCUGAAUGAAGAGUUGGGGUUUUGUCAGUG